CUGAUUUUAACUUUAUUUUAUUUAAAUUCAGCCAGCAGGGGGACUAACUGUCAUUACAGGCAGUCCCCCUGCUGGCAAUGCAGCAGGCAGCUAACCGCAAGGACCUCACUCUCACAUGGCCGAGGGGGGCUGGAGGAGGCAGGAUACCAGGUGAGUCCCCCGACAGUGAUCGCCAGCGCGGGAUCGCCGGCGACCAGAUAAGUAAGAAAAACCGUGAGGGCGUACUAUUACGCCCUGCUGCGUUUAGAGCCACUUAGAAUAGGGCGUAAUAGUAUGCCCUCCGGUUUUAAGGGGUUAAGGUAAAUUACUGAUUGAAAGAUAAACAAGUUUUUUUCAUGCAGGCUGUGUCAAUCAGAGUCAGGUGAGGUGUGGCAAUGGCUGCAUAAACAGAAACAACGUGAAACAACGUGAUUUAUCUCCUAAAUGGCAGUGAAUUGAGCAGUGAAACCUGAGAGGCAUGAUUUAUAUACUAAAUCUGAUUCAUUAAGCUAAAGUUGUUUAGGUGGCUAUAGUGUCCCUUUAACUUAAGAUUUUAUGCAAACGUGUCUCAUUAAGGUAAUAUUAUACAUGCUCUUUCUUUUCCUAAUUUUAUUUUACAUACUCUAAAUUGACAGGCAACACAAUAAACAAACAUUGUUCAUACGGCAAAUAUUCUUUCUUUUUAUUCAUGACAUUUAACAUAUGUUGUUGCGGUGGUAUUUGCUGCAAAAUGUUCUUUUGUUUCUGGUUAAUGCUUUUGUGAUCUAUGACAUUAUAUAUAGGUCUAGAUAGUACAAAGCACUUACUUUGCAAAAUACCAGAUGAAACAGGCAUCUUGAAGACAAAUCUCUUAAUCUCUUAAAGACAGGUUGCAGAGUCACUUAUUGUAACCAAUUCACAUCUGAAGGUCAUUUCAAAUAAGUUAAUAGCAUAAAACUAUGUGGUAGAUAUUGUUCAAUGCACAUCAAUAUCUGUAAUCAAAUCUUAUCUCUUAAAAUCCCAUAUAGACAUAUCUAAGCUGAUACAAUAAAUAAAAAUAUAUUUACAUAAAAAUCACAAUCACUUUAUUUAAUAAACCGAAAAAUUUAUAAAUAGAAGUAAAACCACUAUUUUAUAUACACAACACCCAGUGCCAAAAAUAGAAGGUAAAAAGUAAAUAUACUUAAUGGUAUAUAACCCAAUGAAUGUCCAAAUGUUGGUAAGUAGAGAUGUCGCGAACUGUCCGCCGAACUGUUCGCGAACUGUCCGCCGGCGAACAAUAGUGUGUUCGCGUUGGGCGAAAAUAUCCGAUUUCCGGUCCGCCCCCUAUACGUCAUCAUUGAGUAAACUUUGACCCGGAACCUCACAGCCAGAAGACACAUUCCACCCAAUCAGCAGCAGACCCUCCCUCCCAGGAAGUGUCUGCUGACUGUGAGGUUCCG